CCCUGCUCCAGGCAGCAGUGAGAUCUGGCGAGGUGGCUCGGGCAGAUCUGACGAGGUGGCGUGGUGCAGAAUAGUUCCAAUUUUCAAUGGGAUGGGAGGACCUGAAGGGGUAGUAUCCAGCGUAAUUUCAAUGGUAUGCAACCAGAAAAUGUACAACUUGGGCCAAAACAUAGUGUGGUGGGAGGGCUUGACAUUGGAGUUAGUAAUGCACCUACUUUGGAAACUAUUAUUGAAUUGUGUGUUGUGAUGUAUGGACUUCAUGUAAGGAUGAAUGAUAAUUGAACUUGUAAUAUUCUUAUGGAUAUGUUAA